rnacentral:lncRNA from 1 species
AGGCCACAGCUGCAGCAAACAGCUUUAUCUAUAAUCUCAUUACCAUCAUCUUUCUCUUCUUGCUUCCCUUUCAUAGUAAUGAUUCCACUCUGAUGCUUCUUCUUCCUUUUCUCUUUUUUCCUCUGUAUCAUUUACUACACUUUUUCCAAGAAAACCAAAAAGCAAACAAAUUCUUUUUUUAUUUUCUUCUUCUUUCUGUGUAUGUGUUAAAAUCUGUAGCUCUUCAGAAUAGGUGCAGAAAGUUUUGUUGCUUCAGAUCCCAAUAUAUAUGCCAUCUUUUUCUCUCUCUCUAUCUCUUGAACCAAUAGUAACAAAACUGUCUGCUUUAUGAUUUUGCUCAUAUUUUCUUUCAUCAUAUUUCUCUGAAACCAAACAGUCCAAAAGUAUACAUCAUCAUAUCAUAUUAUCACUGUCUAUUAUCAAGUACAUCAAGAUUCUCUUCAGUGGUGGUCCUAAAAACCCCAAUAUUUCUUUCUUUUUUUGCUUUUUCACACAACCCCUUUGUUUAUAUGUUGUAAAGAGAGGAUCUUUGGUUAUUUUAGAAAUGCAAGAACAAGGAGUUGGAUUAAUGGGGUCAAGUAGUGGUGGAGGAAUUGGUGGUUUAGGAGCUUUAGGUGAUGUUUCAAUGGUGAUUUCUGAGGAUAAUCAGAGACAGUUAAAGGGUGAAAUUGCUACACAUCCUUUAUAUGAACAGUUACUUUCAGCACAUGUAGCUUGUCUUCGUGUAGCUACACCUAUUGAUCAGUUACCACUUAUUGAAGC